rnacentral:rRNA from 1 species
ACAGUGGACGCGAGCAUCUUUUUUUGUUGUGUCAAGUUUUUAAGGGCACACGGUGGAUGCCUUGGUACCAGGAACCGAAGAAGGACGUAGGAAUCUGCGAUAAGCCUCGGGUAGUCGAUAACCAGACUGUGAUCCGAGGAUUUCCGAAUGGGGAAACCCGGCUGGAGGCAAGUCCAGUCACCCGCACCUGAAUAUAUAGGGUGUGUGGAGGGAACGUGGGGAAGUGAAACAUCUCAGUACCCACAGGAAGAGAAAACAACCGUGAUUCCGUGAGUAGUGGCGAGCGAAAGCGGAAGAGGCUAAACCGGGCGUGUGUGAUAGCUGUCAGGCGUUGCACGUUCGGGGUCGUGGGACCCGCCAACCGGUGCUGACAUGCUGGUAGGGAGUAAAAAAUCCGUGUCAUAGUCGAAGGUUCUUGAAUGGGCCGGCGUAGAGGGUGCGACCCCCGUAGACGAAAUGGUGCGGACUCCCGGUGGGGAUCCCAAGUAGCACGGGGCCCGAGAAAUCCCGUGUGAAUCUGGCAGGACCACCUGCUAAGCCUAAAUAUUCCCUGGUGACCGAUAGCGGACAAGUACCGUGAGGGAAAGGUGAAAAGUACCCCGGGAGGGGAGUGAAAUAGAUCCUGAAACCGUGUGCCUACAAUCCGUUGGAGCCUCCCGCCGUUGGGCGUGUGGGGUGACAGCGUGCCUUUUGAAGAAUGAGCCUGCGAGUUAGUGCUCAGUGGCGAGGUUAACCCGUGUGGGGAAGCCGUAGCGAAAGCGAGUCCGAAUAGGGCGUUUGAGUCGCUGGGUCUAGACCCGAAGCGGAGUGAUCUACCCAUGGCCAGGUUGAAGCGCAGGUAAGACUGCGUGGAGGACCGAACCCACUUAGGUUGAAAACUGAGGGGAUGAGCUGUGGGUAGGGGUGAAAGGCCAAUCAAACUCCGUGAUAGCUGGUUCUCCCCGAAAUGCAUUUAGGUGCAGCGUCACGUGUUUCUUGCCGGAGGUAGAGCUACUGGAUAGCUAAUGGGCCUCACCAGGUUACUGACGUUAGCCAAACUCCGAAUGCCGGUAAGUUUAAGCGUGGCAGUGAGACUGCGGGGGAUAAGCUCCGUAGUCGAGAGGGAAACAGCCCAGAUCACCAGCUAAGGUCCCUAAGCGUGUGCUAAGUGGGAAAGGAUGUGGAGUUGCUGUGACAACCAGGAGGUUGGCUUAGAAGCAGCCACCCUUUAAAGAGUGCGUAAUAGCUCACUGGUCAAGUGAUUCCGCGCCGACAAUGUAGCGGGGCUCAAGCACACCACCGAAGCUGUGGCAUUGACACUUUGCUCGGCAUCGAUACCUGCGGGUUCGGUGUCCAGGCGUGUUGAUGGGUAGGGGAGCGUCGUGUGGCCAGGGAAGCGGCGGUGUGAACCAGCCGUGGAGGCCACACGAGUGAGAAUGCAGGCAUGAGUAGCGAAUGACGGGCGAGAAACCCGUCCGCCGAAUAACCAAGGGUUCCAGGGUCAAGCUAAUCUGCCCUGGGUAAGUCGGGACCUAAGGCGAGGCCGACAGGCGUAGUCGAUGGACAUCCGGUUGAUAUUCCGGAACCGGCGAAGGACCGCCCAUGAUGAACCUUGUGAUGCUAAGUGCCCGAAGCGCCACGUAAGGCGGCUUACCCCUUCGGGGGUGGUUGCUGGUGGCGGUGAGCGCGUGACCCGAACUGGUAGUAGUCAAGCGAUGGAGUGACGCAGGAAGGUAGCCUCCGCGUGGCGAUGGUUGUCCACGUCCAAGGGUGUAGGGCGCGACCUAGGCAAAUCCGGGUCGUAGCAUUUGUUUGCAAGCCUGAGACCUGAUAGUGACCGCGAAUGCGGGAAGAGGGUGAUCCUAUGCUGCCGAGAAAAACUUCUAGCGAGGUCCGAGCCGCCCGUACCCCAAACCGACUCAGGUGGUUAGGUAGAGAAUACCAAGGCGAUCGAGUGAAUCGUGGUUAAGGAAUUCGGCAAAAUACCCCCGUAACUUCGGGAGAAGGGGGGCCCUGAUCGUGAUCCCACUUGCUGGGUGAGCGUGAUCGGCCGCAGAGACCAGGGAGAAGCGACUGUUUACUAAAAACACAGGUCCGUGCGAAGUCGCAAGACGAUGUAUACGGACUGACGCCUGCCCGGUGCUGGAACGUUAAGGGGACCGGUUAGUACGUAAGUGCGAAGCUGAGAACUUAAGCGCCAGUAAACGGCGGUGGUAACUAUAACCAUCCUAAGGUAGCGAAAUUCCUUGUCGGGUAAGUUCCGACCUGCACGAAUGGCGUAACGACUUCUCCACUGUCUCAACCACGAACUCGGCGAAAUUGCACUACGAGUAAAGAUGCUCGUUACGCGCAGCAGGACGGAAAGACCCCGGGACCUUUACUACAGCUUGGUAUUGGUGUUCGGUACGGCUUGUGUAGGAUAGGUGGGAGACUGUGAAGCGCUCACGUCAGUGGGUGUGGAGUCAACGUUGAAAUACCACUCUGGUCGUUCUGGAUAUCUAACUUCGGUCCGUGAUCCGGACCAGGGACAGUGCCUGGUGGGUAGUUUAACUGGGGCGGUUGCCUCCUAAAAAGUAACGGAGGCGCCCAAAGGUUCCCUCAGCCUGGUUGGUAAUCAGGUUUUGAGUGUAAGUGCACAAGGGAGCUUGACUGUGAGACAGGCAUGUCGAGCAGGGACGAAAGUCGGGACUAGUGAUCCGGCGGUGGCUUGUGGAAGCGCCGUCGCUCAACGGAUAAAAGGUACCCCGGGGAUAACAGGCUGAUCUUGCCCAAGAGUCCAUAUCGACGGCAUGGUUUGGCACCUCGAUGUCGGCUCGUCGCAUCCUGGGGCUGGAGUAGGUCCCAAGGGUUGGGCUGUUCGCCCAUUAAAGCGGUACGCGAGCUGGGUUUAGAACGUCGUGAGACAGUUCGGUCCCUAUCCGCUGUGCGCGUAGGAAACUUGAGAAAGGCUGUCCCUAGUACGAGAGGACCGGGAUGGACGAACCUCUGGUGUGUCAGUUGUUCUGCCAAGGGCACCGCUGAUUAGCUACGUUCGGAAGUGAUAACCGCUGAAAGCAUCUAAGCGGGAAGCACGUUUCAAGAUGAGGUUUCCAUGCCCGCGAGGGCGAGAGGCUCCCAGCUAGACCACUGGGUUGAUAGGCCGGACGUGGAAGCACAGUAAUGUGUGGAGCUGACCGGUACUAAUAAGCCGAUAACUUGACUAACAA